rnacentral:lncRNA from 1 species
CUCUAUCUCUCUAACAGAUGCUCUCCCUUCUCUCUAGAACCUUUUGGUUCCUUCUUCUCCGAUGAAGACCAUCGCCUCUCCGGCCCACUUAUCCCUUACUUCUCUUGUCCUCUAGCAGCCAUGGAGCCCUUGUCUCGUUGUUUUCUCUCUAAAGCUUGAAGCCCAGCAGCUUCCGCCAUGAAAGACGGUCACUGAAGAUUUAUUUGGGUCUAUUUUUCAGCUUUUCUCCGAUGGUUUUUAUCCGAUGCUGCCUUCUAUGGCAUUAUAUUACGAGUUUCCGGCCAGGUUUUUGAUUUCCCUAAUUUAUUUUUGCAAACCCUAAUUUUUUCACCUAAUUCUCUUUGGUCUCUGUCUUUUAAAUGAUUUAUUUUGGUUUAACCUUUGUCUUCUACACUUCCUAUUACCUAAUAUCUUUGAUUAUUCGAGUUAUAAACGUCUGGGUUCCAUGCUGUAAUUUCUAUUGCUAGGGUUUCUUAACCCCUUUGGAAAACACUUUACUUAUUUGAUUUUGAGUGCCAAUCCAUAACUAUCAGUAUUACUUCUCAACAUUUUUGUUAAAAUCUGAUGAAAACCCUAACCCUAUAUGUUUGUAUCUGUAUUUGCCUGUUUGCAUGUUCUUUUGGGUUCUUCUUUGAGUUCCUUGCUCUUUACUUUGACUCUUGUUGCUAGUGCGUUGUGUUCUUCUCUUAAGGUUUCUGGCUUUUUAUAUGGUGAUUUUAUACUGAUUCUUAAAAGCUCUCUUUAAGGCUGUGAUUACAGGCUUUAAAAUUGUGAUUUUGUGUAUUGUCUUGCAGUUUGGUAUUGAUUUCUAAUUUUCUUCCUCAAUUAGUGGGAUACAUUCCUCAAUUAAUAACUGAUCUCCUAGGUUUUCAAUCUUGUUCAUUAAUUCAAAAAUUAUUUUCCAGAAUUAAAGUGGUAUUUUUCCUUAUAAGUGUACACAAGUAUGUUGAUUUAUUUGCUUGACAUGUUUCCAUGGUUAAGUAUCAUGCACCUAGCCUUCAUUGUAUACCAUAUACUAUUUUGUUUCCUUAUGUGACCAUGCCAUAUUUUGUGAUUCCUUUCCCUUUAAAAUGACUGCUUAUUGCCGUUUGACUUUGAUUCCUUAAUUAAGGGGAGUCCAUAUGUUGUUGUUCUCUGCUGCUUACACUCUCUGCUCACCUUUUUCCUCUGUGCAUUACUGUUAUUGAGGAUUAUCACUUGCAACUGGUAUGUCACCUAUUUAAGAUAAAUCCUCCAAAACACAUGCUCCUAUUUGUUUUGCAAUUCAUAUUUUUUCUUGUGUGCUUUUACAUAUGGUUCAGUUGCUCUUAUUGCCACUAGCAUAUAGUUGUUUGUCUAAUAGUUUAACUUAGCAUAUUUUUCCCUAUCCCCCUUUCCUUGUCUCAAUGUAUGUUUUCCUCUUCCAUGUGCACUACUGCUUGGCUACUUGGCAGCCCUGAAACUUCUCCCUAAGGUUGAUUAUAUCUGGGGUUUUGGUGCAGUAAGAACUAAAGCCUUGUUUUACAACCAUGCUUGAUUACUUUCCCCCAACAUGUUGUCUAUACACUUUACUUAUUUGCUCUCAUACCCCCCCUCCCCUGUCUCAAUGAAUGUUCACUUUUUCCUUGUGUGCUACUACCAUGCAUCCAUGUAUACUUGGCUACUUGGUUAACCUAAGACCCUUGUGUGAGGCUAAGUGUGUUAGAGUUUGGUAUAGAACUCAUGUUUGCAACCAUGUCUGGUUACUUUAAAUAUGUUGCAUGUGUAAGUAGUUUACUUUGCUUAUUUGUCCCAUUCCCUUUUCCCUUAUCUUUGUGAUGCUCUGUUAUUCUAAAACUGUUCAACCCAAAUGAUUUCAGAAGAACUUUUUCAACUCUUUCAACAAUUUUUCUUAAACUGUCUCAACUUUUUUUCAACUCUUUCAACUAUUUUCUUAAACUGUCUCAACUUUUUUCCAGCUAUUUCAACUAUUUUCUUAAACUGUCUCUGAUUUUCCAACUCUCUUCUUAACUCUCUCAAUUCCUUUCAACUGUUUUAUUAAACCGUCUCUCAACUAUUUUCAACUAUCUCAAUUCUAAUCACAAUCUCAUUCUUAGAGUUAAAGGGUCUGCCCCCUUAGUGUAAGCACUGCCUUGGGAGCCUUGAGCACCCAUUGAACUCUGAUGCACAGGGCUGGCACUUCCAUAUUUGCACUUGUCUGAUUGGGACAUUUUGGGUGCUUGGUAUUUUCCAAGUGUUCAAACGAACCCUUAGGGAACUAUGUCGCACCCAAGCCUUGGUAAUGGUUGUGAAACUCGAAAGAAGUGAGGUUGGAGAUGCUUUGGCCUGGCUGUAGGCUCCCUAUAGACUAGCUUCUUGUUUUCUUUUACUGUUGUAUUUUUUAUAUAACUUGGUCUGUAAUAACAUGUAAAGAACGAUGAGGAUUAUAGUGAAAUUGGGGAGGGUUAUGCAUGAUUAUUAAUGGAAUGGGUAGAAAAUAUGUUUCUAGGACAUGCAUCUCACAUAUAGAAAUCAUGUUCUUAGGACGUUUACUUUCAGCUUGUGAUUUUUUAAUCAUAAUCAGAUAAUAAUCAAGUUACUGCCA